rnacentral:tRNA from 1 species
GGCCCGUUAGCUCAGUUGGUUAGAGCGCCGCCCUGUCACGGCGGAGGUCGACGGUUCAAGUCCGUUACGGGUCG